AUUGAACGCUGGCGGCAUGCCUUACACAUGCAAGUCGAACGGCAGCACGGGAGCAAUCCUGGUGGCGAGUGGCGAACGGGUGAGUAAUAUAUCGGAACGUGCCCAGUCGUGGGGAUAACGUAGCGAAAGCUACGCUAAUACCGCAUACGAUCUAUGGAUGAAAGCGGGGGAUCGCAAGACCUCGCGCGAUUGGAGCGGCCGAUAUCAGAUUAGGUAGUUGGUGAGGUAAGGGCUCACCAAGCCGACGAUCUGUAGCUGGUCUGAGAGGACGACCAGCCACACUGGGACUGAGACACGGCCCAGACUCCUACGGGAGGCAGCAGUGGGGGAAUUUUUGGGACAAUGGGCGCAAGCCUGAUCCAGCAAUGCCGCGUGCAGGAUGAAGGCCUUCGGUUGGUAAC
rnacentral:rRNA from 1 species